GGGGAUGUGGUUCAGUAGUAGAGCUCUUGCCUUGCUAGCAUAAAGCCCUUGGGUUGGAUCCCCAACACCACCA
rnacentral:tRNA from 1 species